AGUAAAGAGUGAAUAGGCAGCUUCUAGGCAAGCGCGCUCCAUGCUAGGGUGCAUCUUCACUUGCCAGCAGGCCUGAUUGCAGCUAAGUGCUAGUCUCUAGAAAAACAAAUUU